rnacentral:rRNA from 1 species
AUUGAACGCUGGCGGCAUGCCUUACACAUGCAAGUCGAACGGUAGAGUAGCAAUACUUGAGAGUGGCGAACGGGUGAGUAAUAUAUCGGAACGUGCCCAGUCGUGGGGGAUAACGUAGAGAAAUUUACGCUAAUACCGCAUACGAUCUAUGGAUGAAAGCGGGGGAUCGCAAGACCUCGCGCGAUUGGAGCGGCCGAUAUCAGAUUAGGUAGUUGGUGAGGUAAAGGCUCACCAAGCCGACGAUCUGUAGCUGGUCUGAGAGGACGACCAGCCACACUGGGACUGAGACACGGCCCAGACUCCUACGGGAGGCAGCAGUGGGGAAUUUUGGACAAUGGGCGCAAGCCUGAUCCAGCAAUGCCGCGUGCAGGAUGAAGG